CAGCCCUGUGGCCCUCGGGGCCGGCGGGAGAAGGUCGCCAAAACCCAGAGGAGCGCCGCCAUUGACGUCCACCUACGGGCCCAUCACACCUGCCUCCAGGUCUGAGCAGCGCGCUCGAAAACGCCCUGGCAAACCGUCAUCUGUCUGAAGGAGGGGGUCUCGGAUGAAAGAGGGUGAGGAACCCGCACGUUUUUCCAGCUGGAUGCAUCAGGCACAGAGAAGAGAUCACAUCCCAUGAACCCACAAGGACCCUGGGAGGCUACACAGAAUGCCAACCAGACACACUCUCCUGGAGCAACUACCAUAAUAAUGUGCAUUUAAAGAAAAAUCAUCUUAUAUUAAAACAAACACAAAGACAUAAA